CCCCGGGGGAGGAAGGGAAACACUGUGGUUGACAGCCCUACACAGAGAUCUCGGGGAGGAUGACAAGAGCUUUCUCAAUGGAAAGAGGGAGAAUGAACACCGGGCAAACAAAAACAGAUGGCCACCACAAACCAUCAAGAGCUUUGAAAGAGACGGUGUUAUCUCGGAGCUGCCUCUCUGGUCCUCUGGUCCUGCAGUUGUAAGCAUUCCCUUCACUUUCUUGCCCUGAUCUUGAGAUAUUUUUAGGUUGCCUGUCAACGUGGUUAUAAUUUUAGCUAUAAUUAUUUUUCUCCUUUAUUUUAAGGCUUAAUUUUUAUGGUCAAACUAACUUUUGUGGUAGAAUUUUCUCUUAUCCUGUACCAUCGAUAGAUUAAAAUAUGAGACUUUGUACAUUUGUCCAAUAGUAUUUCAUAGCUUUAUUAUCAUAACUAAUAACCUCUGAGUUCUUACUAUAAACUCAGCAUCAUGUUUUGAGGGUUGCAAAGAAAGUUGCUCUUGAAAAGAAUUCAUUAUCUAGCUGAGAGAAUACAAGACAAAAAGUAUGAAAUAAUAGCCAACGGGAAAGAAUGAUAUAUAAUUAUUUUAUAAAAUGUGAUCAGGGUAUUUUAAAAGAAUGCUUAUUUUUAAUGGUAUUUUUCACAUAAUGCAUUUUCACUUAUUGAAAAUAGAAUCUCCAAAUCUCCCUGUAUCAGGUUGAAUUGUGAUCCCCAGAGAGAGAUGUUGAAGUCCUAACCCUGGUAUUUGUGAGGGUGAUCUUAUUUGGAAACACUGUGGAGUCUUUGUAGAUGCAAUCAAUUGAACAUGAAUUUAUUAAGGCGGGACCUAAUCCAUUAUGACUGGUGUUCUGAUAAGAGAUGUAAAGACAGAGACACACAGGAAGAAUGCCAUGUGAUGACGAAAACAAAGAUUGGAAUGAUACAGCUACAAGCCAAGGAACGCCAAGGACCCAUGGCCACCACUGGAAGCCAGGAAGAGGCAAGGAAGGAUUCUACCCAGAGUCUCAAGGGGAGCAUGGCCCUGCUGAUUUUGGACUCCAAACCCCCAGAACCAUAGAAGAAUAAAUUUCCAUUGUUUUAAGCUGCUCAGUUUGUGGUACUUUGUGAUGGCAGCCCUCGGAAAUGCAUACACGUCCACCUCCUGUUUCUUCUCCUUUCCUCCACCAGCCUCAGACUGUAACUCUCACCAAUACUACAAGACAGCACUUCCCAAAUUUUAAUACACAUACAAAUCAUUUGAGGAUCUCGAUAAACUGUUGAUUCGGAUUCAGUAGUUCUGGAUGAGGCCUGAGAGUCUGCAUUUCUUAGAAGUUCCCGAGUGAUGUCCACGCUGCUGGCCCAAAGACCACACUUGGAGAAGCAAGGCUAUAUAUAAGAGAGUCAGCAAGGAAAUGUUGCUGUCAGGUGUGUGUCACAUCUAUGCUUUUUGCCACAAUGCUAACAGAGAUGAAGUGGAAAGACUUACGUGGACCUUUCAAAGGGUAGUGACGGACUGCAAAUGAGCAUAGCAUCUAAUCAGCAACUGAGACGGCAGAUAAGAACGUCUCUAUAAAGUGUUCCCUGGAUUUUACAGUAAGUCAUUCAAGGACCCGCACAGGAUGCCAAGUUCCAACCUGAUUUGCGUCACCGCAAUUGUGGCUUUGUGCCAAGGCUAGUUAUCAAACAUAUUGAAAAGAUAACCUCACAAAAUGUGGGACGAAAAUAAGACCGCGAGCUUGGUACGACAGAAGCAAAACGCGAGUGGAGGUCAUCUCUAAGUCACUGCGGAAAGACGAUGUCAGAGAUUUGUUCCAACAAGUUUUUGAUGAAAGAAUUUGAUUAGUGGACUAUGGAGCUCUUAAAGUCAAAGAAAACGAAGCCAGGCAAUUCCGGGCUUGGUCGCGAUUCAAAAGCUGUAAAAGCUGCCCUGCUGUGUUUAAAGCGAUGGGACCGGUCUGGCGCGCAGGCCAGGGCUCGGGGAGCAGCGAGGACUCGCGGCGGGGAAAUCCACUGGCAGCGCGCGCGGUGACUCAGCGCUGAGUCAUGCCGGGCGCUACGUGCCGGCCCGGCGCCCGCCCGCCGCGCAGUCAGCUGAGCUCGGCUGCUUCCUGGAAGACCCUCCCC
rnacentral:lncRNA from 1 species